rnacentral:rRNA from 1 species
CCUACGGGAGGCAGCAGUGAGGAAUAUUGGUCAAUGGACGAGAGUCUGAACCAGCCAAGUAGCGUGAAGGAUGACUGCCCUAUGGGUUGUAAACUUCUUUUAUAUGGGAAUAAAAUGUUCCACGUGUGGGAUUUUGUAUGUACCAUAUGAAUAAUGAUCGGCUAACUCCGUGCCAGCAGCCGCGGUAAUACGGAGGAUCCGAGCGUUAUCCGGAUUUAUUGGGUUUAAAGGGAGCGUAGGUGGAUUGUUAAGUCAGUUGUGAAAGUUUGCGGCUCAACCGUAAAAUUGCAGUUGAAACUGGCAGUCUUGAGUACAGUAGAGGUGGGCGGAAUUCGUGGUGUAGCGGUGAAAUGCUUAGAUAUCACGAAGAACUCCGAUUGCGAAGGCAGUUCACUGGACUGCAACUGACACUGAGGCUCGAAAGUGUGGGUAUCAAACAGGAUUAGAUACCCGAGUAGUC